rnacentral:sRNA from 1 species
GCGGAGGAAAAGAAACCAACAGGGAUUGCCCUAGUAACGGCGAGUGAAGCGGCAACAGCUCAAAUUUGAAAUCUGGCUCUCUUUGGGGGUCCGAGUUGUAAUUUGCAGAGGAUGCUUUGGCAUUGGCGGCGGUCUAAGUUCCUUGGAACAGGACAUCACAGAGGGUGAGAAUCCCGUACGUGGUCGCCUGCCUUUGCCGUGUAAAGCUCCUUCGACGAGUCGAGUUGUUUGGGAAUGCAGCUCUAAAUGGGAGGUAAAUUUCUUCUAAAGCUAAAUACCGGCCAGAGACCGAUAGCGCACAAGUAGAGUGAUCGAAAGAUGAAAAGUACUUUGGAAAGAGAGUCAAAAAGCACGUGAAAUUGUUGAAAGGGAAGCGCUUGCAGCCAGACUUGCCCGCAGUUGCUCACCUAGGCUUUGGCCUGGGGCACUCUUCUGCGGGCAGGCCAGCAUCAGUUUGGGCGGUUGGAUAAAGGCCUCUGUCACGUAUCUUCCUUCGGGAUGACCUUAUAGGGGAGGCGUAAUGCAACCAGCCCGGACUGAGGUCCGCGCAUCUGCUAGGAUGCUGGCGUAAUGGCUGUAAGCGGCCCGUCUUGAAACACGGACCAAGGAGUCUAACAUCUAUGCGAGUGUUUGGGUGUCAAGCCCGGGCGCGCAAUGAAAGUGAACGGAGGUGGGAACCCUUUGGGUGCACCAUCGACCGAUCCUGAUGUCUUCGGAUGGAUUUGAGUAAGAGCAUAGCUGUUGGGACCCGAAAGAUGGUGAACUAUGCUUGAAUAGGGUGAAGCCAGAGGAAACUCUGGUGGAGGCUCGCAGCGGUUCUGACGUGCAAAUCGAUCGUC